GUAGACGCUACGGACUUGAAAAUCCGUUGGCUUUAUUGACCGUGAGGGUUCAAGUCCCUCUACCCCUA
rnacentral:tRNA from 1 species